rnacentral:rRNA from 1 species
UACGUAGGGGGCCAGCGUUGUCCGGAAUCAUUGGGCGUAAAGCGCGCGUAGGCGGUCAGGUAAGUCCGGUGUGAAAGUCAAAGGCUCAACCUUUGAAUGCCGCUGGAUACUGCUUGACUUGAGUCCGGAAGGGGCGAGUGGAAUUCCUGGUGUAGCGGUGAAAUGCGCAGAUAUCAGGAGGAACACCAAUGGCGAAGGCAGCUCGCUGGAACGGUACUGACGCUGAGGCGCGAAAGCGUGGGGAGCGAACAGGA